AGAAGAAAGAGAAAAGAGGGAGAUGUCCGGAAGCACAGGUGAGCCCAUGGGUGAUUCACGUGAUAAAACUACAAAUACUAGUUCUGCUUCACCACCACCUUCAAAUCAGAGGUUUAGUACUGGAAAUGCACCAAUUAGUUCACCUUCAAAUCAGAGGUUUAGUACUGGAAAUGCACCAAUUAGUUCACCUACUAAUCAAAACACCAGUCCCCUCUCUCAUGGAUAUUUUCAGCAUUCUGAACAAAUUGGUUCAGAAUUCUCAACAGUUCCCCUUACAUAUUCAGAUAGCAAAACAA
rnacentral:lncRNA from 1 species